AACGAACGCUGGCGGCGCGCCUAAUACAUGCAAGUCGAGCGAGAAGACGUAGCAAUACGUUUGUAAAGCGGCGAACGGGUGAGGAAUACAUGGGUAACCUACCCUCGAGUGGGGAAUAACUAGCCGAAAGGUUAGCUAAUACCGCGUACGCUCCUUGGACUUCGGUUCAGGGAGGAAAGCGAUACCGUGGGUAUCGCGCUCUUGGAUGGGCUCAUGUCCUAUCAGCUUGUUGGUGAGGUAACGGCUCACCAAGGCUUCGACGGGUAGCUGGUCUGAGAGGACGAUCAGCCACACUGGCACUGCGACACGGGCCAGACUCCUACGGGAGGCAGCAGUAAGGAAUAUUGCGCAAUGGGCGAAAGCCUGACGCAGCGACGCCGCGUGGGGGAUGAAGGUCUUCGGAUUGUAAACCACUGUCGGGAGGGACGAAGCUCUGACGGUACCUCCAAAGGAAGCACCGGCUAACUCUGUGCCAGCAGCCGCAGUAAG
rnacentral:rRNA from 1 species